rnacentral:rRNA from 1 species
UGGGGAAUUUUGGACAAUGGGCGAAAGCCUGAUCCAGCAAUGCCGCGUGUGUGAAGAAGGCCUUCGGGUUGUAAAGCACUUUUGUCCGGAAAGAAAUCCUUGGCUCUAAUACAGUCGGGGGAUGACGGUACCGGAAGAAUAAGCACCGGCUAACUACGUGCCAGCAGCCGCGGUAAUACGUAGGGUGCAAGCGUUAAUCGGAAUUACUGGGCGUAAAGCGUGCGCAGGCGGUUUGCUAAGACCGAUGUGAAAUCCCCGGGCUCAACCUGGGAACUGCAUUGGUGACUGGCAGGCUAGAGUAUGGCAGAGGGGGGUAGAAUUCCACGUGUAGCAGUGAAAUGCGUAGAGAUGUGGAGGAAUACCGAUGGCGAAGGCAGCCCCCUGGGCCAAUACUGACGCUCAUGCACGAAAGCGUGGGGAGCAAACAGGAUUAGAUACCCUGGUAGUCCACGCCCUAAACGAUGUCAACUAGUUGUUGGGGAUUCAUUUCCUUAGUAACGUAGCUAACGCGUGAAGUUGACCGCCUGAGGAGUACGGUCGCAAGAUUAAAACUUAAAUGAAUUGACGGGGUCAUAGCUGUUUCCU